rnacentral:rRNA from 1 species
CCCCAGUAGCGGCGAGCGAACGGGGAGCAGCCCAGAGUCUGAAUCAGCUUGUGUGUUAGUGGAAGCGUCUGGAAAGUCGCACGGUACAGGGUGACAGUCCCGUACACGAAAAUGCACAGGUUGUGAACUCGAAGAGUAGGGCGGGACACGUGGUAUCCUGUCUGAAUAUGGGGGGACCAUCCUCCAAGGCUAAAUACUCCUGACUGACCGAUAGUGAACCAGUAC